GAUGAACGCUAGCAGAAUGCUUAACACAUGCAAGUCGAACGAAUUUUGUAGUGUAGUAAUACGCUAUUAAAUUAGUGGCAAACGGGCGAGUAACGCGUACUUAAUCUGCCCAGAAGUUGGGUAUAACUAUGGAGACAUAGCUAAUCCCCGAUAUUAUCCGAUUUUUGAAAUAGUUUCGGAUCAAAGGAGUAAUCCGCUUUUGGAGGAAGGUGCGUCCUAUCAGGUAGUUGGUGAGGUAGAAGCUCACCAAGCCUAUGACGGGUAGCCGGUCUGAGAGGAUGUCCGGCCGCAAUGGGACUGAGAUACGGCCCAUACUCCUACGGGAGGCAGCAGUGGGGAAUCUUGUGCAAUGGACGAAAGUCUGACACAGCAAUUCUGCGUGAAGGAUGAAGCAUUACGGUGUGUAAACUUCUUUUCUGGUGGAAGACGAAUGACGGUACAUCAGGAAUAAGGGACGGCUAACUACCGUGCCAGCAGCCGCGGUAAUACCGUAGGUCCCGAGUGUUAUCCGGAAUUACUGGGCGUAAAGUGUCUGUAGCCCUGAUAAAUAUAGUCUAUUUUCAAAUUCCUCGGCUCAACCGAGGCAAGGGAAUAGAUACUGUUUAUCUAGAGGUAUUUGGAGGUUAGUGGAAUUUCCGGUGGAGCCGGUGAAAUGUGUUGAUAUCGGAAAGAACGCCAAAAGCAAAGGCAGCUAACUACAAUACACCUGACGGUGAGAGACGAAAGCUUGGGGAGCAAACGGGAUUAGAUACCCCGGGUAGUCCAAGCCUUAAAUUAUGUCUGCUAGGUGUCUUGAGCGCUUGUCGCUCGGGGUGCCGUAACCUAACGGGUUAAGCAGAUCGCCUGGGUAGUAUACUCGCAAGAGUGAAACUCAAAGGGAUAGGCGGGGGAACACACAAGCAGUGGAUUGUCUCGAUUAAUUGGAUACGAAACCAAGAAUCUUACCUAAACUUGACAUGUACUGUGUCUUACAUGAAAGUGUAAUAGUUCAUAGCAAUAUGAACGCGGUACACAGGUGGUGCAUGGUCGUCGUCAGCUCGUGCCGCAAGGUGUCUAGUUAAGUCUAGCAACGAGCGCAACCCUCAUUCUUUAGUUAGAAUGUCUAAAGAGACUGCCUGGGUAACCAGGAGGAAGGGGAGGAUGACGUCAGAUCCUCAUGCCCCUUACGUUUAGGGCAUCAUAGACAAUACAAUGGGUAGUACAGCGGGAAGCAAUAUCGUGAGAUGGAGCAAAUCCUACAAAACUACCCCAAGUUCGGAUUGUAGUCUGGAACUCGACUACAUGAAGGAGGAAUUGCUAGUAAUGGCGAAUCAGAAUGUCGCCCGUGAAAUACGU
rnacentral:rRNA from 1 species